rnacentral:rRNA from 1 species
AUUGAACGCUGGCGGCAGGCUUAACACAUGCAAGUCGAGCGGGGAGAUGUAGCUUGCUACAUUUCCUAGCGGCGGACGGGUGAGUAAUGCUUAGGAAUCUGCCUAUUAGUGGGGGAACACAUGCCGAUAGGAAUACUAUUACCGCAUACGCCCUACGGGGGAAAGCAGGGGAUCUUCGGACCUUGCGCUAAUAGAUGAGCCUAAGUCAGAUUAGCUAGUUGGUGGGGUAAAGGCCGACCAAGGCGACGAUCUGUAGCGGGUCUGAGAGGAUGAUCCGCCACACUGGGACUGAGACACGGCCCAGACUCCUACGGGAGGCAGCAGUGGGGAAUAUUGGACAAUGGGCGAAAGCCUGAUCCAGCCAUGCCGCGUGUGUGAAGAAGGCCUUUUGGUUGUAAAGCACUUUAAGCGAGGAGGAGGCUACCGAGAUUAAUACUCUUGGAUAGUGGACGUUACUCGCAGAAUAAGCACCGGCUAACUCUGUGCCAGCCGCCGCCGUAACAC